rnacentral:rRNA from 1 species
GACGAACGCUGGCGGCGUGCUUAACACAUGCAAGUCGAACGGAAAGGCCCUGCUUUUGUGGGGUGCUCGAGUGGCGAACGGGUGAGUAACACGUGAGUAACCUGCCCUUGACUUUGGGAUAACUUCAGGAAACUGGGGCUAAUACCGGAUAGGAGCUCCUGCUGCAUGGUGGGGGUUGGAAAGUUUCGGCGGUUGGGGAUGGACUCGCGGCUUAUCAGCUUGUUUGUGGGGUAGUGGCUUACCAAGGCUUUGACGGGUAGCCGGCCUGAGAGGGUGACCGGCCACAUUGGGACUGAGAUACGGCCCAGAAUCCUACGGGAGGCAGCAGUGGGGAAUAUUGCACAAUGGGCGGAAGCCUGAUGCAGCAACGCCGCGUGCGGGAUGACGGCCUUCGGGUUGUAAACCGCUUUCGCCUGUGACGAAGCGUGAGUGACGGUAAUGGGUAAAGAAGCACCGGCUAACUACGUG